GACGAACCGUGCGAACGUUGUUCGGAUUCACUGGGCUUAAAGGGCGCGUAGGCGGGUUGUCAAGUCAGGGGUGAAAGCCUCCAGCUCAACUGGAGAAGUGCCUUUGAUACUGAUGAUCUCGAGGGAGGUAGGGGCAUGUGGAACUUCCGGUGGAGCGGUGAAAAUGCGUAGAUAUCGGAAGGAACGCCGGUGGCGAAAGCGACGUGCUGGACCUCUUCUGACGCUGAGGCGCGAAAGCUAGGGGAGCAAACGGG
rnacentral:rRNA from 1 species